AUUGAACGCUAGCGGGAUGCCUUACACAUGCAAGUCGAACGGCGUGGCGAACGGGUGAGUAAUGUCUCGGAACGUGCCCAGUAGCGGGGGCUAACUACGCGAAAGCGUAGCUAAUCCCGCAUACUAUUGGAGCGGCAGAUAUCUGAUUAGCUAGUUGGUGGGGUAACGGCUCACCAAGGCGACGAUCCGUAGCUGGUUUGAGAGGAUGACCAGCCACACUGGGACUGAGACACGGCCCAGACUCCUACGGGAGGCAGCAGUGGGGAAUGUUGGACAAUGGGGGAAACCCUGAUCCAGCCAUCCCGCGUGAGUGAUGAAGGCCUUCGGGUUGUAAAGCACUUUUGGCAGGAAAGCGGUACCUGCAGAAUAAGCACCGGCUAACUACGUGCCAGCAGCCGCGGUAAUUC
rnacentral:rRNA from 1 species